AUUUAUUCAAUAAAUUAUUUAUAUUCAAAAAAAAAAAAAUUAAGUAGAAUAUAUCAUAAGGGUUAAAUAUAUAUAUAUAUAUAUAUUUUUUUUUCUUUGCAAAAUCUGACGUAUGUGCCAAAGUUGAAAUUAAUUGGACAUGUCAGAAAAGUGUCAGCGUGCACUUGGCAGUGUCUCAUUUUUCUUUAUCGUAGCGUGAAUUAACAAUUUCAUUGAACAUUUCCCUUUUUUUCCCCCCCUUUGUGAAUGUAUACGUGUAUACGUGUGUGUUAUGUGUUAACCCCCUUUUUUCAAUUUUCUUUAUUUUCAAUAAUAGACCAGCUUGUAAAUCGUUCAGCCAAUUCGUUAAUAUCCGGCGAGGUCGGCGAACGUCUGAUCCAUCUCGUCGGCGAUGGCUUUGUACUUACAGCGCUCGUUUACCAGGACGUCUGUAAUGGAGGGAACGUGCUAUUAGUUUGGAUGGAUUUGUUAGUUGAUUAAAGGUGUUCAAUGAUUAAGGCUUAAGUAUUAUUAUUAUCAUUAUUAUUGUUUAAUUUUAUUAGUGAAAAUAAAAUCAUAAAAUUAACAAGAGAUUGUUGAUUAGUAUCGAGGGAUUAAUUUUUUUUUUUUAGUAUUUAACGAAGGUUUUCAAUGUGAAAGAGAGAGAGAGAGAGAGAGAGAAAGAAAGUGAGAAGGCGGAAGGGAAGAUUGAUUAUUAGUAAUAAAAAUUAUCGAUUAGGAGAAAAUGGUAUAAAAAAUUACGAGUAUCAAUUUUUUUUCUCUUUUUUUUUUUUUUUCUAAUUUCGGAUGGAGUUUUUUCAACGAGGAGAGAGAGAGAGGACUUGAUUAUUAUUAUUAUAAAUAAAAAAAAUGAUUUUUUAUUUUAUUAAAAAAAAAAAAAAAAAAAAAAAAAAAAAAAAAAAAAAAAAAAAAAAAAAAAUUAAAAAAUUACAUAAACGAUUAGUUUCCCUUUUUUCUUCAGUCUAACAUAACAGUUUGAGAUGAUUUUGAAAUUCGCGCGGAUCGCGAGUUUUCGAGUUGACAUCGCGAGAUGGCAUCGUCACUGUUGUCGAAAAAAGCGUAUUCUUGGCGCGAAAUUACGAAUAGAAGAAAAGUACGAAGAAUGAGGAGGAGAAACUGAAGGACGGGAGGAGAUAUAUAUAUAAAAAAUAUUGAAGAACGAUAAAUAACGCGGUACGUAUUUAUAUAAUAUACAACGAUUUCAAAUAGUUACAUUAGUAAAAUACAUUAUUAUGUUAUACAUCGUGGGUAAUAAUGUAUAUAUAGAUAUUUAUAUAUGUAUUUUUUUUUGCUUUUAUUGUUGUUGUUGUUAUUGUUGUAUAUAAUAAUAGCAGCAGCCAGCCCGUGCCGUGAAAAAGGGGCUACGACGAUUUAUAUAACGCUUGUUAUCUUUUUUUUUAUUUUUUCGUUUUUCUUUUUUUUUUUUCGUAUGAUGUUUCAUAAAGAAAAUCGACAGCAGGAGUUGUUUCGAUGAAGACGUUGAAUUUUUUUUUACCUCAACAAGAUUAAAUUUAACCAACCAAUUCGGUGAAGGUAAGAUCCAGAUCGUCGCAAAUGUAUUUGUACUUCUCUUUCUCGUGGACGAGCUCGUCUGAAAGGAAGCGAAAAUUGAUCAGAAAAGAAAAGAAAAGAGAAGAAAAAUAAUAACGAGAAGAUUUUAUAUAUAUAUAUAUGUAUAUAUAUACGAACGAACCGUGUUCGUUUCGUAAGUUAUGAUUUAUUUAUUUACUUUUUAUCUUUUCAUUUUAUUAUUAGUAUUAUUCUUUUUUUCUUUUUUCUUUUUGAGGAACUCAGAGUAAUAGAUUUUUAAUUCAUUCUUCGAAUUCGAAGUAAUCGAACAAAUUAUAAAGCAUCAUUGUUCCUUUAUGUUUAUAUAUAUACAUAUAUAUAUAUAUAUAUAUAUAUAUAUAUAUAUAUAUAUGUAUAUAGUAUGUGUGUAUGAUAUAUAUACGUAAUAUACAUAUGUGUAAUUAAUAUGAUUGUAAACGAUUUUUUUACGAUCGGUAAUGCUAAAAAUGUGAUUGUAAUAUCAGGAAAGAAGAAAAAUAAAAAAUAAAAAAUAAAUAAAUAAAUAAAUAAAUAAAUAAAUAAAAAUGUAAACAGAAAUUUGUGUAAUUCUAUCGACCAAAAAAACAAAAAAAAAAAAAAAAAAAAACAAAAAGUAAAAAGUCUCCGCUAGUGUGUCCUGUAAUCGCAAAAGGUUAAUAAUUGAAAUAAGAAAAGAAAAGAAAGAAAAAAGAAAUAGCAGUGUUUUUAGUUGAUGGAUUAGAUUUUGUUAUUUCUUCCUUUUUUUUUACUAUUGUUAUUUGUUUGUUUUUUUUUUGUUUAUUUUCAUGGCGUAGCAAUUAUGAUGUUAAAAAGCGUUACAGCUUAAUAAACUUACGGAAUACGUGUUAAGAGAGCAAGCGAGACUGUAAGAAAGGUAAUUUUUUUUUUUUUUUUUAAUUUUCUUUUUUGAAUUUUUGGUUGAAGCGUUAAGGGGGAUGGUUAGUGGCGUUGUUAGACGCCAUAGAGUUCGAAAAAUGCAUUAUCCAGGCCAUCGCCGAUCUCCUUGUAUUUCUCCUUUUCUGUCACCAUCUCAUCUGCAAGCAUUAGCAAUGUUAUUUAGGGAGAAAAGCAUAUUUAUAUUUAUAUAAAUAUAAAUAUAUUAAUAUAAUUACUUCUUUAAUUAAUUAUAUACAAACUUGAUAAAAAAAAAUAAUAAUAGAUGAACAGCGUUUCUGUGUUAUUUUUGUUAUAGGUAGCUUGGCAUUUGAAUUAAAUUAAUUAUCAGUGUAUUGAUUUAUCAAUUCAUGAUUGAUUAUCAUUAUACUAAUUAUUUAAUUAUAUAAAGAUUAUAUUAAUUAUACAGAUUGGAUCGAAAAAGAUUUAUUUUAGAUCGUAGAAUUAUUUUAAAAAUCAAUUUAUUUAUUAUCGAGACACUUUCGAAGACUUUUCAUUAGGAAGGCAAUUGUUACUUAAUACAAUUCGAUGAAAUGAAAAAAAAAAAAAGAAAAAAAGAAAAAAAAAAUGGUUUUCGAGGAAAAGUUUUUAUUCAUUGAUUUUUAAAAUAACAUAAAAACUUUUUCGCACUCUGUAAUUAAUAGAUAAGUAUACUUUAGAUUAUAUUAAUUGUACGAAUUAUUGUAUCACAUUUUAUAGAGAUAUAUUUUCUAAAACUUAAA